rnacentral:rRNA from 1 species
CCCUUAGAUGUCCGGGGCUGCACGCGCGCUACACUGAAGGAAUCAGCGUGCUAAAACCAUUGUCGAAAGGCAUUGGUAAACCCAUUAAAAUCCUACGUGAUUGGGAUCGGGAAUUGCAAUUAUUUCCCUUGAACGAGGAAUUCCCAGUAAGUGUGGGUCAUAAGCUCGCGUUGAUUACGUCCCUGCCCUUUGUACACACCGCCCGUCGCUGCCCGGUACUGAGCCGUUUCGAGAAAAGCGGGGACUGCUGCUGUCGGGGCUUUCGGGCCUUGGCUUCGGUGGAAACCGCUUUAAUCGCAGUGGCUUGAACCGGGCAAAAGUCGUAACA